UUAUAAUUUAGUAACAAAGAACAAUUGCGAAAAGGCUGCCUUCUUGAAGCAAUGAAGUACAAUGAUGAGCUAGCGAGACUAAAUCACCAGUAUCAAUAAAAGUUAACCCAGUAAAAAAGAAGUGUACGAUCCUGGGUUAAGAUGGCGACCUAGUUAAUUCAGAACAUAAAAACGUGUUGACGUAGACGCCUUAUAUCUUAAAAAGAUAAAAUCAGACGAUAUAUGUCGGAGCUUAUUAGCAACUCUCGUCAUGAAGUGGAUCACAUUCUUCUCGACGACAGCAAGUGUACUAACACGGACCUAUUGAGUGAUAGUUGAUGGUUUAUUGCUGUAAACGAUCCUAAUGUAUUAUACAGACACCGCAAGAAGGAGCUGUUCCUUCGUCCAUG